rnacentral:rRNA from 1 species
AUUGAACGCUGGCGGCAUGCUUUACACAUGCAAGUCGAACGGUAACAGGCCUUCGGGUGCUGACGAGUGGCGAACGGGUGAGUAAUGCAUCGGAACGUGCCCAGAGGUGGGGGAUAACGCAGCGAAAGCUGUGCUAAUACCUCAUGUGAUCUGAGGUUGAAAGCGGGGGACCAUGUAGCAAUGUUUGGCCUCGCGCCUCUGGAGCGGCCGAUGUCAGUUUAGGUAGUUGGUGGGGUAAAAGCCAACCAAGCCGACGAUCUGUAACUGGUCUGAGAGGACGACAAGAUGCAUGGCGGAUCCAACACGCCGAAGACUAUUGCGGGAGGGACCAGUGAGGUAUUUUGGACGAAGGUCGCAGACGUGUUCAAGCAAUACCGCGAGAGGGAAGAAAGUACUCGUGUUGGAAAACGCAUUUGUACGGAGUGAAAAGGCUGUGGAUAAUGCCUGGAGUUGAUGACGGUACCGGAAGCAUAAGCACCGGCUAACUACGUG